rnacentral:rRNA from 1 species
UACAGAGGUCUCAAGCGUCGUUCGGAUUCAUUGGGCGUAAAGGGUGCGUAGGUGGCGCUGUAAGUCGGGUGUGAAAUUUCGGAGCUCAACUCCGAAACUGCAUUCGAUACUGCGGUGCUUGAGGACUGGAGAGGAGACUGGAAUUCAUGGUGUAGCAGUGAAAUGCGUAGAGAUCAUGAGGAAGACCAGUGGCGAAGGCGGGUCUCUGGACAGUUCCUGACACUGAGGCACGAAGGCCAGGGGAGCAAACGGG